AAGGCCCUGGAUUCAGGACUACCUGAGUUCAAAUCUGACCUCACACACUUAACACUUACUACCUGUGUGACCCUAGGCAAGUCACUUAACCCCAACUGCCUCACUUAAAAAAAAAAAUUGUUUUGUAAGAGGUUUUAAUAGCGACAUCUAAGGAGUCACUACAAGGUACCAGUUAGAGCUUACUCUUUCAUUGGAAAAGAGUUGAGAAACAGUUGUAUUUGCUAUUAAAAUUUGUUUUGUAAGAGGUUUUAAUAGGGACAUCUGAGGAGUCACUACAAGGUACCAGUUAGAGAUUACUCUUUCAUUGGAAAAGAGUUGAGAAACAGUUGUAUUUGCUAUUAAAAUUUGUUUUGUAAGAGGUUUUAAUAGGGACAUCUGAGGAGUCCCUAUAAGGUACCAGUUAGAGAUUACUCUUUCAUUGGAAAAGAGUUGAGAAACAGUUGUAUUUGCUAUUAAAAUUUGUUUUGUAAGAGGUUUUAAUAGGGACAUCUGAGGAGUCCCUACAAGGUACCAGUUAGAGCUUACUCUUUCAUUGGAAAAGAGUUGAGAAACAGUUGUAUUAGCUGUGUGACUGUG